rnacentral:rRNA from 1 species
GGCAGCACGAUGUAGCAAUACAUUGGUGGCGACCGGCGCACGGGUGAGUAACGCGUAUGCAACCUACCUAUCAGAGGGGAAUAACCCGGCGAAAGUCGGACUAAUACCGCAUAAAACAGGGGUUCCACAUGGAAAUAUUUGUUAAAGAAUUAUCGCUGAUAGAUGGGCAUGCGUUCCAUUAGAUAGUUGGUGAGGUAACGGCUCACCAAGUCCACGAUGGAUAGGGGUUCUGAGAGGAAGGUCCCCCACACUGGUACUGAGACACGGACCAGACUCCUACGGGAGGCAGCAGUGAGGAAUAUUGGUCAAUGGGCGAGAGCCUGAACCAGCCAAGUCGCGUGAAGGAUGAAGGAUCUAUGGUUUGUAAACUUCUUUUAUAUGGGAAUAAAGUGAGGAACGUGUUCCUUUUUGUAUGUACCAUAUGAAUAAGCAUCGGCUAACUCCGUGCCAGCAGCCGCGGUAAUACGGAGGAUGCGAGCGUUAUCCGGAUUUAUUGGGUUUAAAGGGUGCGUAGGUGGUUAAUUAAGUCAGCGGUGAAAGUUUGUGGCUCAACCAUAAAAUUGCCGUUGAAACUGGUUGACUUGAGUAUAUUUGAGGUAGGCGGAAUGCGUGGUGUAGCGGUGAAAUGCAUAGAUAUCACGCAGAACUCCGAUUGCGAAGGCAGCUUACUAAACUAUAACUGACACUGAAGCACGAAAGCGUGGGGAUCAAACAGGAUUAGAUACCCUGGUAGUCCACGCAGUAAACGAUGAUUACUAGCUGUUUGCGAUACACAGUAAGCGGCACAGCGAAAGCGUUAAGUAAUCCACCUGGGGAGUACGCCGGCAACGGUGAAGCUCAAAGGAAUUGACGGGGGCCCGCA